rnacentral:rRNA from 1 species
UACGUAGGUGACAAGCGUUGUCCGGAUUUACUGGGCGUAAAGGGCGCGUAGGCGGUCGUGACAAGUCACUUGUGAAAUCUCCGGGCUUAACUCGGAACGGUCAAGUGAUACUGUCGGACUAGAGUACAGAAGGGGCAACUGGAAUUCUCGGUGUAGCGGUGAAAUGCGUAGAUAUCGAGAGGAACACCUGCGGCGAAGGCGGGUUGCUGGGCUGAUACUGACGCUGAGGCGCGGAAGCCAGGGGAGCGAACGGG